rnacentral:rRNA from 1 species
CCUACGGGUGGCAGCAGUGAGGAAUAUUGGUCAAUGGACGAAAGUCUGAACCAGCCAAGCCGCGUGCAGGAUGACGGCCCUAUGGGUUGUAAACUUCUUUUAUAUGGGAAUAAAACAGGGUAUGCAUACCCUCUUGUAUGUACCAUAUGAAUAAGGAUCGGCUAACUCCGUGCCAGCAGCCGCGGUAAUACGGAGGAUCCGAGCGUUAUCCGGAUUUAUUGGGUUUAAAGGGAGCGUAGGUGGAUUGUUAAGUCAGUUGUGAAAGUCUGAGGCUCAACCGUAAAAUUGCAGUUGAAACUGGCAGUCUAGAGUACAGUAGAGGUGGGCGGAAUUCGUGGUGUAGCGGUGAAAUGCUUAGAUAUCACGAAGAACUCCGAUUGCGAAGGCAGCUCACUGGACUGCAACUGACACUGAUGCUCGAAAGUGUGGGUAGCAAACAGGAUUAGAUACCCCUGUAGUC